GGGCCCGUAGCUCAGUCUGGUCAGAGCGAUCGGCUCAUAACCGAUCGGUCGCCGGUCCGAAUCCGGCCGGGCCCA
rnacentral:tRNA from 1 species